AGUUAAUGAACUUGAAUAAGUAUAUGUUUUGAAAGCAUAAAAUAAUAAUUUAAAUUUAUUAUUAACUU
rnacentral:tRNA from 1 species